rnacentral:pre_miRNA from 1 species
AAAGUACUCCCUCUGUCUGGAAUUACUUGUCAUCAAAAUGGAUGUGUCUAGAACUAAAAUACAUCUAGAUACAUCCAUUUCAAUGACAAGUAUUUUCAGACGGAGGGAGUACAAG